rnacentral:rRNA from 1 species
UACGUAGGGUGCGAGCGUUAAUCGGAAUUACUGGGCGUAAAGCGUGCGCAGGCGGUGAUGUAAGACAGGUGUGAAAUCCCCGGGCUUAACCUGGGAACUGCAUUUGUGACUGCAUCGCUGGAGUGCGGCAGAGGGGGAUGGAAUUCCGCGUGUAGCAGUGAAAUGCGUAGAUAUGCGGAGGAACACCGAUGGCGAAGGCAGUCCCCUGGGCCUGCACUGACGCUCAUGCACGAAAGCGUGGGGAGCAAACAGG